AUGACAGAUCUCGAAAUCUCUGUUCAAACCCUUAGGAGACAGCGACUUCAAUUUAAACACCCACCUCAUCUCUUGCUUCGCCAGUUUGUUGUCCAAAUGUUCACCUCUCCAGUUCCUGCUCACUCUUUCAAUUCCAAUAAACUGCAGUUUUGUAACAUCCCCCUGGUGUUUGUAUAUGAAGUGUGAGGAUAAGGGAUGCUCUUUGAAACCCCGUUUAAUGUUUCGUACAUGUUCCUCAAUGCAAAUAUGCACUUAUCUGGUGGUUUUCCCUACAUAGUGCAUAUUCCAUGGACAUGUAAGGACAUAGAUGCAAU